rnacentral:misc_RNA from 1 species
AAGUCGUAACAAGGUUUCCGUAACCUGCUGAAGGAUCAUUAAGACGUAUCCAAACGUUAAAACAACCCUGUGAACCUUCAGCGUGUUCUUGCAGGACAUCAAAACAGCAAUCCCGAGUAAAUCAGGCGCUAGAGAAUUACAGAUUUUGAUUUUGGGAAGUUCUAUGUGUACGUGGACGCUGCAAUUGAGUGCUAGAUAAAGCACCCUGGUACCCUGAGCACUCCCUGUCUGAAAGCGGCAGGGAUCAAUGUUCAGGUUCAGGGUGGCGCAGUCAACGAUUGCUGUAGGUCCACAUGAUUGGCGACCUGGGUGCCCUACGUCAUCCCUAUGUACCCUCCGGGACUUGGCGAAAGCUGACUGCGUCAUAAAUCGAACAACUGUUAACAAUGGAUAUCUUGGUUCUC